rnacentral:rRNA from 1 species
UUGGCCCAGAUCGUUUACCGUGAAAAAAUUAGAGUGUUCAAAGCAGGCAGAUCCAAUUUUCUGCCACCGAAUACAUUAGCAUGGGAUAAUGGAAUAGGACCCUGUCCUCCUAUUUUCAGUUGGUUUUGGCAGCGCGAGGACUAGGGUAAUGAUUAAUAGGGAUAGUUGGGGGCAUUAAUAUUUAAUUGUCAGAGGUGAAAUUCUUGGAUUUAUGAAAGAUUAACUUCUGCGAAAGCAUCUGCCAAGGAUGUUUUCAUUAAUCAAGAACGAAAGUUAGGGGAUCGAAGACGAUCAGAUACCGUCGUAGUCUUAACCAUAAACGAUGCCGACCAGCGAUUAGGAGACGUUGAAUACAAAACACCACCAUCGGUUGCGGUCGUCCUGGCGUCUCGGUUCGGCCGGGCGCGGGACGCUAGCCCGGCCCUGAA